rnacentral:rRNA from 1 species
UACCAGCCCCCUGAGUGGUAAGGAUGAUUAUUUGGCCUAAAGCGUCCGUAGCCUGCUCAAUAAGUCCCUCGUUAAAUCUAACGAUUCAAUCGUUAGCCUGCGGGGGAUACUGUUGGGCUAGAGGACGGGAGAGGUCGACGGUAGUUCUGGGGGUAGGGGUGAAAUCCAAUAAUCCCAGGACGACCACCAGUGGCGAAGGCGGUCGACUAGAACGUGCCUGACGGUGAUGGACGAAAGCUGGGGUAGCGAACCGGAUUAGACACCCAGGUAGUCCCAGCUGUAAACGAUGCGGGCUAGGUGUUGGGGUAGCCAAGAGCUGCUCCAGUGCCGCAGAGAAGUCGUUAAGCCCGCCGCAUGGGAAGUACGAUCGCAAGAUUGAAACUUAAAGGAAUUGGCGGGGGAGCACCACAAGGGGUGAAGGCUGCGGUUC